UACGUAGGCAGCGAGCGUUGUUCGGCGUUACUGGGCGUAAAGGGUGUGUAGGCGGUUGUUUAAGUUUGGUGUGAAAUCUCCCGGCUCAACUGGGAGGGUGCGCCGAAUACUGAAUGACUUGGAGUGCGGGAGAGGAGAGUGGAAUUCCUGGUGUAGCGGUGAAAUGCGUAGAUAUCAGGAGGAACACCGGUGGCGAAGGCGGUUCUCUGGGCAUUACCUGACGCUGAGGAGCGAAAGCGUGGGGAGCGAACAGG
rnacentral:rRNA from 1 species